UUCCUGCAUGGCAUACUCUUGUUCCCCGCAUGCUGUCCUGUCCUCCCUGUCCAUGUCCAGGUUCUCGGACAGUGUAAUCCUCCAUGCUCUGAGCUCCACCUUGUCACUCUCGGAGAUGCACAAUAACUCAUUGAACAUGUCCUCCCGAGUCUUCUUUUUCUGCCUUCUAAUCUGUGAAAGUCUCUGUCCUGGUGUGGAGGAUGCGCCAAUGGACAAGGUUUCAGCUGCAAGGAAUGCAAAGCACAAGGAAAAGCCAGUGGGAACUCAUAUGAUGGGCUGACUUCAUGAGCUACGAUCCUUCCCUCCCAAAUCUUCCCAAGGAAGCACCUAAAAGAGAUACUAUAAAUGAACUAUAGCUGUGCAUUACAUCUGUGACCACAAUCAUUCAUGUGGCAAGAUACUUGGAGCUGGAGAGAUUGAUUUUAAAGCCAAACCCAAAGGGAUUUCCAGGAGUCAGAGGGCAUCUGCAACAUUCAGUUCAGUUUUAAAAAAAAGAAGGCAGCAAUCUGUUAAACUCCAUCACUAGAGCUCACAAUGGAGACCCCCCCAACGAAGAAGGUCUAUCUUUGUGAGUGUCCAUCUUGGAUGCUUUGCUUCCCCAUGAAGGUGCAAGC